rnacentral:rRNA from 1 species
GGAAUAUUGGACAAUGGGGGCAACCCUGAUCCAGCAACGCCGCGUGGGUGAAGAAGGCCUUCGGGUUUUAAAGCCCUUUCUACGGGGACGAUGAUGACGGUACCCGUAGAAGAAGCCCCGGCUACCUUCGGGCCAGCAGCCGCGGUCAUACGAAGGGGGCUAGCGUUGUUCGGAAUUACUGGGCGUAAAGGGCGCGUAGGCGGACCUGCCAGUCAGGGGUGAAAUCCCGGGGCUCAACCUCGGAAUUGCCUUUGAUACUGCGGGUCUUGAGGACGGGAGAGGGUCGUGGAAUUCCCAGUGUAGAGGUGAAAUUCGUAGAUAUUGGGAAGAACACCGGUGGCGAAGGCGGCGACCUGGACCGUAUCUGACGCUGAGGCGCGAAAGCGUGGGGAGCAAAC